AAAAAAAAAGUCUUUUAUCUGGCAGGAAAAGAAAGGAGAAAGAUAGACAGCAGUGUCCGGUGCUGCACGUCUGAAAAACAAAACAAACAAACAAACAAAAAUCCCAAGCCCGGUAAAGGCAGCUUUUCCACCUACACUCAUUGCUGAUUUUUUUCCCCUUAAAACAGUUGCAGGGUUCCCCCCGAGGUGCCCGGCCAGCCGUGCUCCCGCUGCUCGAUGCCGUGUGAGCCCUCGUUGUGCGUGGAGCUCCGGAGCCGCGCCGGGCCAGGAGGAGCAGAGCCGCCUGGGGCCGUCGGGUUUCCCUCGGACGCCCACCUGUGUCGUGUCUGCUUCAGCCUCAGAAAGGUGCCGGCGGGCAAAGGAGCAAAGGAGCAGGAACUGUGCCUUGAAGAUUCUCCCUGCGCCUUCAGGAGGAUGCUGGGCUGAGCCAAAAUCAAAGCGCUCUGCUGUGCUCGCGCUGUGCUGCUGAGGAGUUGGUUUCAGAGGAGUUCCCUCAGCCGGUCAGAGAUCUCAGGUUGGAGAUUUAUUUUCUUGCUAAAGGGGGGGAAAAAUGUAAUUAAAAGACCUGAGUAACGCUCAGUUCCUUUAUAAAAAUUACAAGCAGACGUGGGGCAUUGUGAGAAUGGUGAUGUUGAUAAAAAGACUUGGUGGGCUGUGUGGAAACCCACAUGUGAGUGGUUUCAGCAAGACCCCACCUGUGUCCCUGGCUGUGAUUUCUGUUAGCUUUGCUUUGCAUUCGCACUCUCUUUGUAUGUUUACUAUACCAGCAUCAACCGUGUCAGCUGUAUGGUGAUGUCUGUAAUCAGAGGACAGAGCAAAACAGAGUGUGCUCACAUCUGGGUCUGUUAAGAGCCACACUCUCAGCGUCUGUGGCACUCAAACAGCUUUUUAGACAUUUCUAACACAAACUUGGGCACCCGCAGUAUGAAAGCAAGGUUUGUUCUUGUCGUUCAUCUUUCAUCCCAGCUAGGUGAAAAAAUAGUCUUGAUUAGAAUAGUUUGCGUCAGUGCUGUGGUUUUGUCACGCUUCUACUUCAUUGUUUUACCAUAGCUUAAGAAAGAGUUUCUUUCCAGGCUGACAAUAAAUUACUGUGAAAGAAAGAAGUCAGCGUCAGUGCCCCCUACAAAGCUCCCAAUCACGGAGGCAUCAGCAAAACGUGGAUGUUCUGAAAACGUUUUCUUCUUUUCAGUAAUAUUCUGUUCUUAAUCUUGGGCAGCCUUGUGCAUAUAAGCUCGUCGUCAGUGCGAGUAAAUCGUGCCCAGCAGUAGGGCGGGCACAAGGAAGGGGGCAUAGGAGAAAUACUGCAUUUCAUAAACACAAUCACCAGAGCAUUAGGAGAGCAAACAUGUGGUUUUAUGAACAUAGUUAUAAAUAUUUAAACAUGCAAAAUGAAAACGUUGCUAAAUGUCUGCUUUUCAUUAUCUUCCAAUGAACGUUUUCGUUCUUGGAAGCCUUGUUGGCUGUCUGCAGAAAGCGAUCACCACCCCCUCCCCAAAAUGAAUGAUGCGUAAUGCGAAAACGUGUUAAAAUGCACAGUUGUUUGUAAUAUCUUCUACCAAAGUGGAAGGCAUUCUACCAAAUUUGGUAUUCUAUUGAAUCCCAGAGUAUCCUUGCCCCACAAACAGGAACCAGCCUGCUUCUGUCAGCAACUUUCUUGCUGGAUGUUAGGAAAAAUCUGAGGGCAGCUUUGGAAAUAGAUGCCGCUUAGUGCACUUGGAGACGUGUCCUGUGAUCCUUCUCCUUCCUACAGAAGUCAACGAAAGAUGCCACAGCUGAUUUUACCAUCAUGAAUACGUUGCUUUGAAAAUUCAGCAAGUGUUCAAGCAUUUCCCAUGCCUCCAUGGAAGGGUUUGGAGGCUGCAGGGGGAAUUUCAUGCUGGGGAGCCGUGGUUCUGCCCCUGGAUGGGCUGUUGCAGGGGUGUGAGUCUGCGCCUUUAAAUAGGAGCAUGGCAAGCCGCAGCAGUAUGGGUUGUGCAAUUUUGCUUGCGUGAGUGGAGGCCUGUGAAAGAGCUGGGGCCACGCUGUGCAUCACUGUUCGUAAUAAGGCAGGUGUCUGGAUCCUGGGAUCCUGCUCUCUUGGCUUCAGUCCUGCCCAGUUGUUAUAUUCCCGCAAUGCUCUGGCUGGGCCGUGUAUGUCACGGGAGAAGAUGCCGAUUUUAUUUAUUUAUUUGUUUUCUAAACGCACCGGGAAACCCGUUUUCUAUUAGUUCCAUAUUUAAUCCUGGGCGCCGUGAGUUUCUGCUGUGCUGGGCAGAACACGGCAUGCCGCGCUGGCACGCACACACGUGCCUGCUGCUCGCUGCGUGUUCCUCCUGCAGUUGCUCCCACCAAUAAAUCCGCACUUGCUGCAGUCAGAAUGGAAAUCUUAAAGACAAAGGAUUCGACUGGGCAGUUUUUAUUGCUGUGAUAGAGCAGAAGGCCUCAAAUUAGGGGACGGUGCCUGCGUGGAUGCCGUCUCCUGCCAGCACUGCGCCGGUACCAAGGACUGUAAAGGGUUUCUUACUACUGUGCUGCAGCAAAUCCCAAAGAAAUGGUGGAUGAGAAGUGAACAUGGAGGAGCAUGGGGCCCCUGCCCUGUGCAAAGCUGCCCUGGCACAGCUUGCAGGGCCAUGGCCGGCUGCAGUGCGUGGGCACAGCCGGUCCCGUUCCCAUGCCGGGGCUGUGGGAUGGAGCCUGCUGGCAACCCCAACCCAGGGCUGGUUUCUGGGGGCAGGCGUGGUGGGGCUGCUCCCUGUGUGCUUACGUCAAUGCAGACCUUUCCACGGACUCCAGUCUGGGUUGGAUCAAGCCUUGCAUGGUUGUGGCCCUUGUGCAUUUCAAAACUGUAUUAAUCUAUAUCUGGAUCCCAAUGGGGCACUCGGGAUGAGCUGAGCUCAAACAAUCCUUGGCAGGAGGGACAGAGUGGAGUUGGCGGGGAUUUUUGUCCUGUUAUUGGUUACUUGGGGGAAGGAAUGUAUGCACCAGUUUAAUAUAUGACAACUUGAGGUCUGUCAUCUUAAGCAUAUUAGAAAAGCCUCAUUUUUAACAAAUCCCAGAGCGUUCGGCAGGCAUCGUGCUGCAGCUGCACUGGGACCAGGCAAUGGCUGUGGAUGGAGGCAUGGGGCUGCUUGCUGUCUCAGUGCAUGGUUGGGACAGCUCUGAGGCUGCUGGGGGAUGGACCCUGGGCCGCUCACCCCUUGGUUGGGGGAUGGAUGGGGAGACAAAAGUCCUGGGGCAGAGAAAAGCUGGCAAAUGAGACAGCAUCAGUGCAACCCAUAGAGCCCAUGCACUAAAAGCUUUUCCUGUCUGGUUCAAUGCAUCCCCAGUGAAUUUGGCCAGGGAGUUACAUACUGAGCUCAGAGGAGACUUUCUUCUCUAUGGUAAAAUCUUCAAAAAACUUCCUAAAGACCUUGAGAUAGAUUUUACACUCUGUAUCAGUGUGAUAUUUCCUCCAGUGAAAAUAAGGAUUGAUGCUUCUGUUGGAAAUGGUCUUGUAUAAAUUCAUCCUUUCUGCUUUUCCUCUCUGGAUUUCUAAAGUAUGAAAAAUUCAACCUAGUAAAGACUUUUCAGCAAGUUUAUUUGGGUUUGUUGCAUCAAGCACAAGAAAUUCAGUCCAGGUAGCUGUUUUACCCUAACAUGGUUAGGAAGGAAGGAGGAAAUUUAUUCUGUUGUAUUUCGCUUUGGUUCGGGGGUGGGGAGGAGUUUGGAAAACAGCUUUCUCUAUUUUUACCAAGCAUUAUUUUCAUUUUUCUCAAUCGACGCAGCACCCAAGCUCUUAGCAAGCUGCUGCCUUCAACAACAUCCCCAUAAGGAGCAAACUGAAACAGCACAAGGAGUAGAUGUCAGCCUCAGACUGACAACUGCGCUUCUGGGUAAUCUAAUGCCAUUUUAAUAUCUUGCUUUUAAUUCAGCUCAGCGAAUGCUUUGAUGGACACGGCACUGAUGCUCGUGAGCCCGAGUUCAGUUGUUAGUGCCAUGUCAGAAAUUAUUUUUCACAGACGACUGUAGCUGGAGCGUCAGCUCCCAUUAAGUGUAUUAAGUGUAUUGGUAUAUAUUAAGUAUAUAUGACCUCUGAGAUUCUGGGCUAGCACGCUGCAUUUUGUAGCCUUUGGUUUGUUCCUGCGGUGACAAGAACAGAAGGUCUCUGGUUAACUUUUGACCAUUGACAUAUUAAAUGAAGAUGCGCGUUUGAGCAACAUCAGUGAUUUCAAUUGACUCAUCAAUUGCCAUUGCAUAGCAGUCUUCAUGUUUCACUUUGGUAACAAGCUGAUCUGCCACAUCUGAUGCCAGCAAUUCAGUCCUUCAAACAAAUGACAUGUUUGAUAAAGAAAUCUUUUUAAAUUCAUUAUGCACUUUGGCUUUUGUCUUUCCUUUUAAUACAGCAUCUGUUGCAGCCGGGAUGCAUUCCUUGAUCGUUUCUGAGUCUGCCAUUAUUUUUCUGCCUGCCCAGUGUCCCAGGGACGUGAAACGAAGCCGCUGCGCUUUGCUGCCGAGCACUGAAACUCUGCACCAACAUUCAAUUUGAUCUCUCGGAACUGACUGCAAUAAAGUGGUUUCGUCAGCACACACUUGUGAUAAAAAGGCGACACGAAGAAAGCCAGCGAGCUGAAAGGCCCUGCGUUUUCCUGGGAAGACAAUAGGAUAUCUGGCUCUUUAUUUGUUUCGUGGAUUCCUUGUGCAGCCAUUUAAAUUCAGCCGAAGGCUCCAAAUGUCUAAACUUUAUCCUGGGCAUUUUAUUUAUUUUUUUUUCAGUGCUGGAAAGGAAUAGAGUUAAGUGUCCCAAGGGGAGUUUUAUAGAAAAUGCUAUGUGCAAUGUUAAUGAGUUGGGAAGGGGUCGUAUGUUUUUUCAUAUAGAGCCUAUGCAGGAACAAAUAUGGAACCGGAGGAGAAACCAUCUGCAGGGACCCAGUGAGGUGUGCCAGCGGGUGAUCCUGGGCUGCUGUCACCCCUAAAUGAUGAACAAAAGACUUCAAUCCCAAGAGCCCCCCGUGCCCCUGCAUGGCUCUGUGCUGGGCUGGGUGAAUAGCCGGGGCUGGAAGAAAUGACAAACUUCUUGGGUGCCACAAGAGAUUGCUUCAGCGUUACUGAUCCUCACUCUGCUCGUUACUGAAAAUGCAUCCAGCAGCUAUAUGGGUCAGACUGCUAAAUUUGUAGACACGGAGUGUCAGGAAGCCUUUUUGUCAACUUCGUACCGUUUAGUAUAUUUGUCCUCAAGUUCAAAGCAAUCCUGGCCCCAGACUUGUGAUAUUUUCUGCCCUUUCCCCUUUCUGUUGACUCAGGCCUCUUCCCUUUGAGGUCAACAUCAAAAUAAAGAUGUAUGUUUCCUCAGCCUGACCAUGGCUCUGAGUCUUUAGAUCAGCAAUCCUAUAGUCCAUAUGUCUUCCCAUCUGUCAGCCAGCAUUUGAAGCCAGCUUGCUCCUCUAUUCUUUCAGACAAGUGUGAGAAUCAGAAGUUUCUUUAAUGACGGUUUCAGGCCUUAAAGCAUUUGCUAAGAUAUUACCUAUUAAGAUCCCUUGAUGGCACCUUGAAUAGAGAUCAAAAGCAGCUGAGUUCACUCCGUAAAUCUCAUCUGGCCUUCAGUUUAGGGUGCUGGGAGAGGGGUGGGGAGGGCACCGUGUUCCCGUGCUGAGAAGCCCAGCCUGGGAAGUCAGCAUUGCAUUUGUGAAACAGUGACCCAGAGCGUGGCUCUCAGUCUGUCUCUCAAACGUUUCUAUUUUUAAUGCCUGCCAAGAGCUACUGCAAAGCCCUCGGGGUAUUUGGGGAAGUGUGUGCUCUUUGGGUUCAUAUCAUUUCAUUGGGUUACAGUGGAUUUAGCGGGGAGGCAUUCAUUGAAGUUUCUGUAUGUUGAAAGGUGUGCACGCUGUCAUGGGCAGAAUGGUGGAGGGCAUUCCCAGAGAACCUCCCAGACGGUGCUAACAAACAGGCUGGCUGUUUAUGGGACCCAAAUGUCUGUGGGGAUCUGAACAUCCCCAAGACGUGGCUGAGCAACGGGGGAUGAUGUCAC
rnacentral:lncRNA from 1 species